rnacentral:rRNA from 1 species
AGAGUUUGAUCCUGGCGUCAGGAUUGACGCUGGCGGCGAUGCCUAAUACAUGCAAGUCGAAUGGAAGAGCUUGCUUUUCCAUAGGCGAACGGGUAGAGUAACACGUAGGUAACCUACCUUAAGGACGAGGAUAACCUUUGGAAACGAAGGAUAAUACUGGAUAGGACAUUAUAAAGCACAUGCUUAAAUGUUUAAAGGAGCAAUCCACCAUAAGAGGGGCCUGCGGCGCAUUAGCUAGUUGGUGAGGUAAAGGCCCACCAAGGCGAUGAUGCGUAGCUGGACUGAGAGGUUGAACAGCCACAAUGGGACUGAGAACGGCCCAUACUCCUACGGGAGGCAGCAGUAGGGAAUUUUCGGCAAUGGGCAAAAGCCUGACCGAGCAAUGCCGCGUGAACGAAGAAGUAUUUCGGUAUGUAAAGUUCUUUUAUCAGGGAAGAAAAGACAGAUUGACUGAACCUGAUGAAUAAGCUCCGGCUAACUACGUGCC